AUGCCUUGGCACUAGAAGCCGAUGAAGGACGUUACUAACGACGAUAUGCUUUGGGGAGCUGUAAGUAAGCUUUGAUCCAGAGAUUUCCGAAUGGGGAAACCCAGCAUGAGUUAUGUCAUGUUAUCGAUAUGUGAAUACAUAGCAUAUCAGAAGGCACACCCGGAGAACUGAAACAUCUUAGUACCCGGAGGAAGAGAAAGAAAAUUCGAUUCCCUUAGUAGCGGCGAGCGAAACGGGAAGAGCCCAAACCAACAAGCUUGCUUGUUGGGGUUGUAGGACACUCUAUACGGAGUUACAAAGGACGACAUUAGACGAAUCAUCUGGAAAGAUGAAUCAAAGAAGGUAAUAAUCCUGUAGUCGAAAAUGUUGUCUCUCUUGAGUGGAUCCUGAGUACGACGGAGCACGUGAAAUUCCGUCGGAAUCUGGGAGGACCAUCUCCUAAGGCUAAAUACUCUCUAGUGACCGAUAGUGAACCAGUACCGUGAGGGAAAGGUGAAAAGCACCCCGGAAGGGGAGUGAAAUAGAACCUGAAACCGUGUGCUUACAAGUAGUCAGAGCCCGUUAAUGGGUGAUGGCGUGCCUUUUGUAGAAUGAACCGGCGAGUUACGAUUUGAUGCAAGGUUAAGCAGUAAAUGUGGAGCCGUAGCGAAAGCGAGUCUGAAUAGGGCGUUUAGUAUUUGGUCGUAGACCCGAAACCAGGUGAUCUACCCUUGGUCAGGUUGAAGUUCAGGUAACACUGAAUGGAGGACCGAACCGACUUACGUUGAAAAGUGAGCGGAUGAACUGAGGGUAGCGGAGAAAUUCCAAUCGAACCUGGAGAUAGCUGGUUCUCUCCGAAAUAGCUUUAGGGCUAGCCUCAAGUGAUGAUUAUUGGAGGUAGAGCACUGUUUGGACGAGGGGCCCCUCUCGGGUUACCGAAUUCAGACAAACUCCGAAUGCCAAUUAAUUUAACUUGGGAGUCAGAACAUGGGUGAUAAGGUCCGUGUUCGAAAGGGAAACAGCCCAGACCACCAGCUAAGGUCCCAAAAUAUAUGUUAAGUGGAAAAGGAUGUGGCGUUGCCCAGACAACUAGGAUGUUGGCUUAGAAGCAGCCAUCAUUUAAAGAGUGCGUAAUAGCUCACUAGUCGAGUGACACUGCGCCGAAAAUGUACCGGGGCUAAACAU
rnacentral:rRNA from 1 species